GCGGGUAUUAGUUUAGUGGUAAAA
rnacentral:tRNA from 1 species